rnacentral:rRNA from 1 species
GACGAACGCUGGCGGCGUGCCUAAUACAUGCAAGUAGAACGAGUUGCGAACGGGUGAGUAACGCGUGGUAACCUGCCUCAUAGCGGGGGAUAACUACUGGAAACGGUAGCUAAUACCGCAUACCAUCAGAUGUGCCCAGAUGGGAUUUGGUAGUAGGUGGGGUAACGGCUCACCUAGGCGACGAUCCCUAGCUGGUCUGAGAGGAGGACCAGCCACACUGGAACUGAGACACGGUCCAGACUCCUACGGGAGGCAGCAGUGGGGAAUAUUGCACAAUGGGCGCAAGCCUGAUGCAGCCAUGCCGCGUGUGUGAAGAAGGCCGUCGGGUUGUAAAGCACUUUCAGCGGGGAGGCGUUACCCGCAGAAGAAGCACCGGCUAACUCCGUGCCAGCAGCCGCGGUAAUAC